CCUUGGCCAAAGGUCCAGAAAAUACUGAAGCAGAAGUUGAGGAUAUUCUUGAUAUCGAUAUUCGUAAUCAACUUAUAGAGAUAAAAACAGCUACAUCAGACACACAAUUGCAAGUGGCUAUCAGUAGAGCAUCCUGCAUUUUAAGCCUUUCCGGGCGUUUCAGAAAAAUCACUUUGGAAAAUAAAGGAGCUGUUACCAAAGAUGUGGCACAUUGGUAUGUGUUACAGAGAACAAGAACUCCAUUUGAAAGAUUUCAAGAAGGACUGCAGAGCCUUGGAGUUCUUUCAGCAUUGCAGCAGUUUCCACAGCAGCUUCA